GUAUUUUUAAUCUUUUGCUGGAAGCCGCCCAGAGUGGCUAGGGAAACCCAGCCAGAUGUGCGGGGUAGAAAUAAUAAAAUAUUAUUAUUAUUAAAUUAUUGUAAUAAUAAUAAUAAUAAUAAUAAUAAUAAUAAUAAUAAUACUUUAUUUAUACCCCACCCAUCUGGCUGGGCUUCCCCAGCCACUCUGGGCGGCUUCCAAAAAAAUAUUAAAAUA